rnacentral:tRNA from 1 species
CCCGUGAUAGCUCAGUUGGUAGAGCGGAGGACUGUAGUGGUUGCGAUUGUGAAGGCAUCCUUAGGUCGGCGGUUCGAUUCCGUCUCGCGGGA